UUAUACGAAUAACAGAAAGUAGAGUGACCAUAAAAAAUUUUAAAGUAAAAAGUAACUUUUAAUUACUAAAACACAUAAAAUUCGUACAAGUAUGGCCACCUUUUACUGUUUUGUUCGCCGUUCGCCGCCGUAUGAAAUAGAAAUAAAGCUAAUUGAGUUCUCGGCGACCGACGAAAUUUUCGCCGGCGCCGUAAUUGUGUGCACUUUCAUAUACACAUAUGUUUUUUUUUGACGACGAACAUACGCCGCGAAAAAUUCGUCGUUCGCUCCAAUUGUGUUUCUAGCAUAAAGCAUCUCUAUGGCCUGUUAUUACAUCGUUCCGAUAGAUAAAAAGUGGUGUCGCCGGACACAUAAAUCGUUUUUGGUUAUUACAAGUUUUAUUUAAGUAUGAACUGUACGAUAAGCAAAUGCCGGACCAUAUUCCCUUUAACUUUAUAUUGAUAAUAUGGCUAUACCAACAAAAUUUAUUUAAAUAAAAAGUGGAUAAUCGCAAUUCGUUUUGUUUAUUAUUUUUAAACUAAAAUGAAAACGCGAUUGUGAAAAAAUGCAGUGACUACCAGUUACUUUUACAAAAGCUUAGCAUAUUUCUGCAGCCUGAGAUGUCUUGAUAUCGCCGACCAGCUCUGCCGACUCCCAUUGGGGUGAGUCCCCAUCCCAACAUCCGGCUCAGGAACAACAACAAUAAAUUAUGGGAAUUCACCAACAAAAGAACAACACUAUCAUGAUGAACAUGAUACCAUCCAAAUCCAUAACGUCUGUUGACACAUAAGCCAUUUAGCCGCCCUCCAUACAUCUGAUCAUAUCUUCCUUUUAUUGUUUUUCCGCACAAUCCCACACCACUUAACUCCCUUUUAUUCCCUCCUUAACAACUCUUUAAUACAUCCUCAUUUUUUUCUUUCUUUAAACAUA